rnacentral:rRNA from 1 species
AUUGAACGCUGGCGGCAGGCCUAACACAUGCAAGUCGAGCGAGCGGCGGACGGGUGAGUAAUGUAUGGGGAUCUGCCCGAUAGAGGGGGAUAACUACUGGAAACGGUAGCUAAUACCGCAUACUAUUGGAGCGGCCGAUAGGGGAUGAGCUCGUUGGUGGGGUAAAGGCUCACCAAGGCAACGAUCCGUAGAUGGUUUGAGAGGACGACCAGCCAAACGGGAACGGAGACACGGCCAAGACUCCGACGGGAGGCAGCAGUGGGGAAUUUUGGACAAUGGGGGAAACCCUGAUCCAGCCAGCCCGCGUGUAUGAGAAGGCCUUCGGGUUGUAAAGUACUUUGGGCAGAGAAGCGGUAUCUGCAGAAUAAGCACCGGCUAACUACGUGCCAGCAGCCGCGGUAAUUC